GUAAGGAAUAUUGGUCAAUGGGCGCAAGCCUGAACCAGCCAUGCCGCGUGCAGGAAGACGGCCCUAUGGGUUGUAAACUGCUUUUAUCAGGGAAUAAACCCCCGCUCGUGAGCGGGGCUGAAGGUACCUGAAGAAUAAGCAUCGGCUAACUCCGUGCCAGCAGCCGCGGUAAUACGGAGGAUGCAAGCGUUAUCCGGAUUCAUUGGGUUUAAAGGGUGCGCAGGCGGAUUGGUAAGUCAGGGGUGAAAUCCCACAGCUCAACUGUGGAACUGCCUUUGAUACUGUCAGUCUAGAGUAUAGUUGAAGUUGGCGGAAUGUGUCAUGUAGCGGUGAAAUGCUUAGAUAUGACACAGAACACCGAUCGCGAAGGCAGCUAGCUAAGCUAUAACUGACGCUCAUGCACGAAAGCGUGGGGAUCAAACAGGAUUAGAAACCCUUGUAGUCC
rnacentral:rRNA from 1 species